UUACUGACUUCUUCGGAAAGAUUUAAAGCGGAUUAGUGGCGGACGGGUGAGUAACGCGUGAGUAACCUGCCUUACACAAGGGGAUAGCCGUUGGAAACGACGAAUAAUACCCUAUGAAACUAUCACUUCGCAUGAAGCGAUAGUCAAAGUGUUAGCGGUGUAAGAUGGACUUGCGUCUGAUUAGCUAGUUGGUGAGAAAAAAGCCCACCAAGGCAACGAUCAGUAGCCGGCUUGAGAGAGUGUACGGCCACAUUGGGACUGAGACACGGCCCAGACUCCUACGGGAGGCAGCAGUGGGGAAUUUUGCACAAUAGGGGAAACCCUGAUGCAGCGACGCCGCGUGAUUUAGAAGGCCUUCGGGUUGUAAAAAUCUUUUGUAUAGGAAGAAAAUGACAGUACUAUACGAAUAAGGUCCGGCUAAUUACGUGCCAGCAGCCGCGGUAAUACGUAAGGACCGAGCGUUGUCCGGAAUCAUUGGGCGUAAAGGGUACGUAGGCGGGUCAUUAAGUUAGAAGUCAAAGGCUAUAGCUCAAUUAUAGUAAGCUUCUAAAACUGGCGACCUUGAGUAAUGGAAGGGAAAGUGGAAUUCCUAGUGUAGCGGUGGAAUGCGCAGAUAUUAGGAGGAAUACCGGUGGCGAAGGCGACUUUCUGGCCAUUAA
rnacentral:rRNA from 2 species